AAGGAAGGCAGAGUGUACAAUGUCUAUGUAAGCACAACAAGAAAGCAACUUAACUGCCUGCAGCAUCAGACCAAGUUCCUGGAUCAUAAGUUUGAAAGCAGCUUCUAGAUGACGCUUGUGGAUAUUUGGAAUAAUAUCUACUAAUUUCUGUUAAGCAGCUAUGUUUCAACUCCACUUCAAUAAAAACAGCCAAAUUUCUCUCCUGGAAA
rnacentral:lncRNA from 1 species